AUCAAAACAAAACACCACCAUUACCAUUGCCGAAGAAAAAAAAAAAUUAGAAAUUGGGGUUUUUUGGUUGUUACCUGAGAAGAGAAGGCCAAAUGAGAGGUGGGUAUAGAGAGGAUGGGCAAACAGAGCUGAAUAUGAACCACAAAAGGAAGGAAAAUCAAUUAGAUUUUUGGUUUAUUUUCUUCAGCUGAUACAAUUACGGUUUGCGGGGAAGGAAUGAUGGGAGUAUGUUGGAUGAAAUUGUGGCUUCUGUUGGGUUUCAAUUUGAGUUUAAAAAUGGGGUUUGGACGUGAUUAAUUGUAACAGCAAUGGAAUUUCAAGACUGUAUCUCUCAUUCAAUCCCACUCCGAUCUUCUUGUGUAUUCUGCUGGUAUGUUCAAUUGUAACAAAUGGAGAUUCCAAUUUGUUUUAACCAAUGUAUCAAUUUUGAAGAAGUUAUUUAGAUGCAUGAUUAGGGAAUCUUGCUUCAUGGGUGAGUUUGUUAGAGAGCCAGUUGUGCUGGUUAGGGGUCAUGCUACUUCAUCUGUUAGCUGAGCUUUUGCAUUCCUUCCGAAAUAAAGUAAAGUCUGCAACAUUUUAUAGUGGAUAUAUCUUUUGAUGUCUUAAUUGAAUUUGACUUGUACAUAGGCUAUCAAUUUUAAAAAUAUUAAGCGGUGAUGAGCAGCUAAAUGUAAGAAAAAUUCAUGUAGGAAGGGGGAUUUUCAAUGAAAUUACUCUUACGCUUGGCUUCUGAGCUUUGAUUGUUCUAAACUUCCUUUGGCAAGUGACUGUAUCCUGUGCUGUAGUUGUUUCAUUCCGAUAAGUUUUUGUUUAGUGUGUUAAAAGCAGUGAUGAGCAGCUAACUUUUAAGAAGAUCCAUUCCAUGUAGGAGGUGGGAUCUUCUAUGAAAUAGUCUUAAGCUUGGCUUCUGAGCUUUUAUGGUUUGUUUUACUAGUGCCUGUUAUGUAAAAUCUUAUUUCAUUUCAAGCGUAUUAGUGGUGGCUGCGUUGUCCCGAAAUGGUGGUUAGGCUCAUGUAGCUUGUUAGUGUAUGAAUUGAUGGUGCUCUGCAGAGAUAGUUCUUGUCAAUUCUUGGUGUUUGGUUCUUUGAGAGUGCUGUUGGUAGAAGAAGGUCUUGGUGCUUGGAGUGUGCUUUUGAUGCUUUGCAGAGAAGACGCUACUACCAGUGAUUGCUUGCUUACAAGGAUUUCAUGUCCGUAAUUUUUUGGGAGGGGAUUUGGAUCUAAUUAGUGUUCUACUUCAUUACCUAAUAUGGUUUCUAUCUGUUAGUGAUAUUCAUACAGUAUGGUGUGCACUGUUGGCCUAGUUGGUUGUGUUUUUACUCAUGCCGAGCUAUUUGUUCUGCUAUUGGAAGAAGUGUUAGUUGCUAUUGCUCACUGCAGCUCCUUCAACACCUGUUUUUGGUACAUGGUUUAGCACAAUAUUUACAGAUCUGCAAUGCCUAGAAUGGAUAUCUUAGAAGUAUGUGCUCGAGCAAAGCUGAAUUUGACUGAAAGAGAACAUGGAGGUUGUGCUGGAUAUGGAAAUGAAUGUCUCAUAAGAUAUCCUGUAGUGGAUUUGAAGAAAGAUCGGGUUCCCUAAUUUGAUUUUUGGAAGAUGGAAAUGGUGUUCUGUAGUGGUAGUGGUGGGACCAAUUUUGGUGUGCACGCGUCAAAUAGAUGAUGACAUGUACAGACCGAACCGAGUUAACAAGAUUAAAACGUCUUUUUAGCUGGGAAGAUGGGUCGCUGGCAGAUAACUUCUGAUUUCUGAAAACAACUCAGGUGUAUAUGCAACAAGAGCUGGUAAAACCACAGGAUCUGAGAAACAAAGCCAAGUUAGACACAGAAUUCAGGGAUGACCGUUUCUACAUCUCCUUGGUUCAAAAUUAACAUUUGGUUUCCAAGGCAACUCAGUUGUGGGAGUUUGGGAGUUAUUACUAGUACCAAAAAGUCAAUACAAAGCUCUUGCUUCGGUCUCUAAUUAUAACAGGUCAUCCUGAACAUAGGUGCCGAAUCUCAGGAUCAUCCUGCUUGCAGCGAUGGAUUAGAGGAUUCAGAGCCGUCAAGUUUCCUUGUCAGGAUGUCUUUAUCUGCUCACUCUGGUGAUUUGGCUUCAAGUCAUGUAGAUGAUAGAGAAUCGUUGAAUGGAUCUUGUUGUGACCACUAAUAAUGAUGAAAGGCAGAGAAGCAGUUCGGAUUCAGCUCAUAGUCAUGCAAGUGAAGAAAUGCUUUCUCAAGUGGAUGAUAGAAGUGAAAGACUUCAUCCUUAGAUGGGUGGGAACAUGCUUUACAAUGUAUUCAUAACCAGUCUCCCCCUCCCCACCCACCCCACCUCCAUCUGGUAUGUAACUUUCCGCCAGUGGUAUUAAGGCUUCUUUGAUUGUACAAUCACGUAUAUAAUGCUCGUAGUCGUAGGUGUACCCCUAGAAUACAGAAUGGUGUAUAAAAAUCCUAAAAAUAUUUCACCAGCGGUAUGUUUAAUUUCCUAACUGACUUAUCAAAUCAAACCAUGUUUUUGUGACUGUACAAA